ensembl:lncRNA
GCCCACAUAGAUGAGGUGAAGCGGGUGCCACGUGAUACAUGACAUUAUUAAACAAACUCAAAGAUGGUACCCAAACACCACACUCUCAGCACACAGGGGACAGCAGCUGUCUGUUCAGGAGUGGAUGCAGAGUUGUUUGUAUGCAGGACCUGGACAAGUAAGUGUCUCAAUGUCUCCACACUCGGAAUAGAACCACUCUCAAAUAUCAAGCGGGCCGUAGGUCAGAAGCGGCUCAUGACGCUCCACUGACCUCAGCGGAGGAGAGAAACUCCUACAGCAGAGAAAAGCAGCUUUCAGAAAUAUAUAUUAGGAUGGAUGAAUAAGUUGGUCUACAAACAAAAUACAGGAGAGAAAGAAAAAUACAAUUGCCUGGACUUCAUCAACACAGCGAAAACUCAAUGGAGUGUUCUACCUGAAUGAAGCCCAGGAGGCUUUUGAUGAGAAGCGCCGGCCUUCCAUUGUUCUCCAGCGGCUUUUUAAAGCAUCCCAACCUGCUUCCACCUCCAAGAGGCAGCUUAAUGAUUGGCCACAACAUUAUGCAAUUCAAACAUGCUAUUUUUAGCCAGUCGUGGGCUGUGUAUGCAAAUUUGCAUGGCAUAUUUCACGUGGUUGGUAACAAUAUACACAGAGAUGACAGAAUAAAUGAAUACAUAAGCUAUAUUUGGACAGGACUAGCUUUCCCAGAGAAGAUCAGAGGCGGUUUCAAAAUGGCAGCAAAAUAAACAAUAAAUGUUGUCUCUCUGAGGCCUGAAGGUUCA